GGGGCCAUGGUGUAAUGGCCAGCAUUGGAGCUUUGGGAGCUUCCGAUCCCGGUUCGAGUCCGGGUGGCCCCA
rnacentral:tRNA from 1 species